rnacentral:rRNA from 1 species
GUGGGGAAUAUUGGGCAAUGGGGGAAACCCUGACCCAGCAACGCCGCGUGAAGGAAGAAGGUUUUCGGAUCGUAAACUUCUAUCCUUGGUGAAGAUAAUGACGGUAGCCAAGAAGGAAGCCCCGGCUAACUACGUGCCAGCAGCCGCGGUAAUACGUAGGGGGCAAGCGUUGUCCGGAAUGAUUGGGCGUAAAGGGCGCGUAGGCGGCCUGGUAAGUCUGGAGUGAAAGUCCUGCUUUUAAGGUGGGAAUUGCUUUGGAUACUGUCGGGCUUGAGUGCAGGAGAGGUAAGCGGAAUUCCCGGUGUAGCGGUGAAAUGCGUAGAGAUCGGGAGGAACACCAGUGGCGAAGGCGGCUAACUGGACUGUAACUGACGCUGAGGCGCGAAAGUGUGGGGAGCAAACAGGAUUAGAUACCCUUGUAGUCC